CUUUAAAUUUAGUUUUUGAAGUUUUUCAUUUUUAUUUUCCUACAGCCUGGAGAAAGAAAUUUUAGACCGUUAUCUUGAAGCUGUUCUGAAGGGAAACAAGGAUGGGUUAAAGAAACUACGGUUGCGGAUAGAGGAUCCACCGCGAAGAAAGCAUAUGGUGUACCUUGGAGGAGCAGUCCUUGCAGGAAUUAUGAAGGAUGCACCGGAGUUUUGGAUUAGCAGAGAAGAUUACCUAGAAGAGGGAAUUGCAUGUCUAAGCAAGUGUGGCCAAGCAUGAAUUUUUGGCUAGGAGAGUGUUAGCAUUUAAGUCUUCCAAGAGUUGGGUGGCUAAUGCAGUGAUCUAUUUUUGUGAUAAUUCUAGCAAAAGUUUCGUUAUGCCACACGUAUCGCCCAAAAAAAAAAUCUCACCAUGCCAUACCCCUAUUGCUAGGUAUAGGGAAAAAAUUAUGUGUUUUAAU